rnacentral:rRNA from 1 species
UUAAAUUGAAGAGUUUGAUCAUGGCUCAGAUUGAACGCUGGCGGCAGGCCUAACACAUGCAAGUCGAACGGUAACAGGAAGCAGCUUGCUGUUUCGCUGACGAGUGGCGGACGGGUGAGUAAUGUCUGGGAAACUGCCUGAUGGAGGGGGAUAACUACUGGAA